AUGAAGGGAAUUUUUCUGUACACGACGACGCACCGCAUGCCGAUCGGACCCGUCGUGCACACACGCAUUAUUGCCUUAUUAUUGUGGUCAUGGCAAAGCAUAUGCACCAGCAGAACACCCACACUAGCUAGUAUCCGGUGCAAGCAAGCAAGCAAGCAGGGAUGGAGCUCCUCAGAUGGAGAUGCUGUUGGGGAUGCCCCUGGCCGUGAGCCCCUCGGCCUGGCCCGUGUGGUCGGAGGUGUUGGGGUAGAGCAGCAUGUAGGGGAACUUGGCCGGCCCGGUGCGGUUCUUGAGCCGCGGGUCCCCGUUCAUGGCCACCACCUGCUUCUCGAUGCCCUCCAGCCUCGCCCCGAACCGCCUGAACGCCUCCUGCGCCUUGGCGUCCGACGUCCACGCCGGCGUGUCGUGCUGCCCCAGGUACACCUCGUCGGAGGAGUGCUUGGACAGGAUCUCCAUCAGCGAGAUGCCCACCAGCGCCUGGAACUGGUUGGUGAUGGUGAGGAUAAAGGCCUUCUCCGGGUCGCGCUCCAGCAGGGCGUACUCCUCGCUGCCCGGCGCCGGCAUCGGCCGCCGGCUCGCCGACGGCUUGUUGGGGUGGUACCCCGAGUAGGGGUACUGCCCGAAGUUGACGGCCGCGUGGAGCGCCGACCCGGUCCAGAUGAUGGUGGCGCAGGCCUUGAUCAGCUCCGCCACCGUCUGCAUCUUGGGCCACCACGCCGCGUCCUUGAGGUCGCCGUGCCCGACCUCCCGCACCUCCUUCCACCACGCCUGCAGCUCCACGUCGCCCUGCAGCACGCCGUCGUCCGGGUAGUAGAUGGUCAGGUACUCUGUCACCCACUGCUCGAUGGCGUGCCACACCGCCAGCCCGUCCGCCGCGUACGGGUAGUCCUCGAUCAGGAGCCGCACCUUGUGCGGGCUCGAUGGGUCCUCCACUGCCAUGCCCCUGCAUCAUCAAGAUCGAUUAAUCAUUGCUGCCACAUCGUCGGGCAGAGCUUGUUCGGUGAAGUUCCAGUUCUUGUAGACCAUGGAGGACAUGGGCAUGGCGUGCUUGCGCGGGAACACGGUCAUCUCGAUGACGCCGCCGGCGUUGAUGAGCAGACCCCGCGCCCGCGCGUUGAUGUUCAUGGUGUCGCGGUAGUGCGGGUGCAGGAGCUUGUACACCGGGUGGGUCACGCUCAGCUGCCUGUUGGUGGCGAUGACGAAGGGCUCCAUCACAGCGUGCGUGUUGAGCCAGUGGCUGAUCAGCUGGUGCCAGCCGUAGUCGUUCACGGAGGCGUAGGCCUUGGCGAGCUGCCAUAUCCAGCCCUCCACGCCGGCGUGCUGCGGCGUGUACACCGUGCUCUUCGCGGUGGUCAGGUCGCCCUGGAUCAGGGGCGAGCUCAGCUCGAUGGCGACCGGCGCGAGCGUGCCGUCCCCUCGCAGGAAGAGCAGGGUCCGGGUCGCGUACACGAAGCUGCCGUCGAGGUUGUUGAUGUCGACCAGGAACGGCAUCAGGUUGUCGUGCUGGUCCACGAUGUAGAGCCUGUUGCCGGCGAGCGCCUGCUCCACGGUGAGGCCCUCGAGGCUCUUGCCGAUGUGCGCCUCCGUGAUGGUGCUGGUGUGGUCGCCGUACUUGCUCGGAUCAAGUGUACUCUUGGGAGGGAACUCCUGCACGCAGUCAAAUAA
rnacentral:rRNA from 1 species